rnacentral:misc_RNA from 1 species
AAGAUGGGGGUUUAGGAAGUAUUCGUAUGUACGCUGCUAGUUGUAGAAGUCCUCAGAUUGAUAGAUCAUGCGUAGUUCUCUGCUUUGAUGUUUUCAGGGUUAUGCCUGGCAUUGUAAAUAGACACGAAAUAUUUGUGGAGGUGAAAAGGGUCCUUGCAUAGAGACUAAGGGUCCAUUUGGUUUGCAUAUUAGAAUUGGAAUCAGUAUUGAAAUCGGAUUGAGCAGAAUUGGGAACGGAAUAAUGGAUUUUCAUUUAUGUUUGGUUCACUACGGAAUUGAAAUCAAGUUCCUUUUCAAGGUUUUCGUUCGCAUAUGUAAGCCUAAAAUCAAACUUAUUUUGUACUUGA